rnacentral:rRNA from 1 species
AUUGAACGCUGGCGGCAGGCUUAACACAUGCAAGUCGAGCGGGGACUUCGGUCCUAGCGGCGAACGGGUGAGGAAUGCUUGGGAAUCUGCCCAGUAGCGGGGGAUCACGUUUCGAAAGGAACGCUAAUACCGCAUACGCCCUACGGGGGAAAGGGGGGGAUCUUCGGACCUCUCACUAUUGGAUGAGCCCAAGUCGGAUUAGCUAGUUGGUGAGGUAAAGGCUCACCAAGGCGACGAUCCGUAGCUGGUCUGAGAGGAUGAUCAGCCACACUGGAACUGAGACACGGUCCAGACUCCUACGGGAGGCAGCAGUGGGGAAUAUUGGACAAUGGGCGAAAGCCUGAUCCAGCCAUGCCGCGUGUGUGAAGAAGGCCUUCGGGUUGUAAAGCACUUUAAGCGAGGAGGAAUGGCUCCGGGUUAAUACCCUUGAGCAUAGACGUUACUCGCAGAAUAAGCACCGGCUAACUCUGUGCCAGCCGCCGCAGUAA